rnacentral:lncRNA from 1 species
UCUGUUUAUAAAAUUAAAGAUUUUUUUUAAUUUCUAGAUAAUUCCACAUCAACGUCUUAACAAUCUUGUCUUUAUUCUCACUUCUCAAAUAAGCAAUGGCUAAGCAAUGGCUUUCGCUAAUUGGUGAUUGGAAUUUUUAUGGAAUUUAUUGUUAUCUAUCACGCUAAUACGGAAUUGGAUGUGGGAAUCAUGGAAAAUUGUGUCUAACGGAAUUGAUUGUGGAAUAUAGCUAUACAUUAUUUUCUAUUGUGAUUUAGUGAAAGAGGGAAACUUUGCCUAAUGGAAUUCAUUGUGUUUCAGCUGUUGAAUUAUAUGUGUUCAUUUUUUUGUUGAGUUACAUUUUGUAAUAGUUAUUAAGAGAUUUUCUAAACAGAAGUUUGUAUUUGAC